rnacentral:rRNA from 1 species
AACGAACGCUGGCGGCAUGCCUAACACAUGCAAGUCGAACGAGACCUUCGGGUCUAGUGGCGCACGGGUGCGUAACGCGUGGGAACCUGCCCUUAGGUUCGGAAUAACUCCCCGAAAGGGGUGCUAAUACCGGAUAAUGUCUUCGGACCAAAGAUUUAUCGCCUUUGGAUGGGCCCGCGUUGGAUUAGCUAGUUGGUAGGGUAAAAGCCUACCAAGGCGACGAUCCAUAGCUGGUCUGAGAGGAUGAUCAGCCACACUGGGACUGAGACACGGCCCAGACUCCUACGGGAGGCAGCAGUGGGGAAUAUUGAACAAUGGGCGAAAGCCUGAUCCAGCAAUGCCGCGUGAGUGAUGAAGGCCUUAGGGUUGUAAAGCUCUUUUACCCGGGGUGAUAAUGACAGUACCGGGAGAAUAAGCUCCGGCUAACUCCGUG